rnacentral:rRNA from 1 species
GAAUCUUGCGCAAUGGGCGAAAGCCUGACGCAGCAACGCCGCGUGGGGGAUGAAGGCCUUCGGGUUGUAAACCCCUUUCAGCAGGGACGAAACUGACGGUACCUGCAGAAGAAGCCCCGGCCAACUACGUGCCAGCCGCCGCGGUAAUACGUAGGGGGCGAGCGUUGUCCGGAAUUAUUGGGCGUAAAGAGCUCGUAGGCGGUUCGGUAAGUCGGGUGUGAAAAUCCAGGGCUCAACCCUGGGACGCCACCCGAUACUGCUGUGACUGGAGUCCGGUAGAGGAGUGUGGAAUUCCUGGUGUAGCGGUGAAAUGCGCAGAUAUCAGGAGGAACACCAGCGGCGAAGGCGGCACUCUGGGCCGGUACUGACGCUGAGGAGCGAAAGCGUGGGGAGCAAACAGG